rnacentral:rRNA from 1 species
UACGUAGGGUGCGAGCGUUGUCCGGAAUUACUGGGCGUAAAGAGCUCGUAGGUGGUUUGUCGCGUUGUUCGUGAAAACUCACAGCUUAACUGUGGGCGUGCGGGCGAUACGGGCAGACUGGAGUACUGCAGGGGAGACUGGAAUUCCUGGUGUAGCGGUGGAAGUGCGCAGAUAUCAGGAGGAACACCGGUGGCGAAGGCGGGUCUCUGGGCCACUACUGACGCUGAGAAGCGAAAGCAUGGGGAGCGAACAGG